rnacentral:rRNA from 1 species
CCUACGGGAGGCAGCAGUGAGGAAUAUUGGUCAAUGGGCUUACGCCUGAACCAGCCAAGUCGCGUGAGGGAAGACUGCCCUAUGGGUUGUAAACCUCUUUUGUCAGGGAGCAACGCCGGCUACGUGUAGCCGGACUGAGAGUACCUGAAGAAAAAGCAUCGGCUAACUCCGUGCCAGCAGCCGCGGUAAUACGGAGGAUGCGAGCGAUAUCUGGAUGUAUUGGGUUGAAAUGGUGCGUAGGCGGAAUGCCAAGUCAGCGGUAAAAUCGCGGGGCUAACCCGCGCUCCGCCGUUGAAACUGGCGUUCUUGAGUGGGGGAGAGGUGUGCAGAAUGCGUGGUGUAGCGGUGAAAUGCAUAGAUAUCAGGAGGAAUACCGGUUGCGAAGGCAGCAUACCGGAGGCCAACUGACGCUGAGGUGCGAAAGCGUGGGUAGCGAACAGGAUUAGAUACCCUUGUAGUC